UACGUAGGGUGCGAGCGUUUAAUCGGAAUUACUGGGCGUAAAGUGUGCGCAGGUGGCUUCGCAAGUCGAGUGUGAAAUCCCCGGGCUUAACCUGGGAAUUGCGCUCGAAACUACGGAGCUGGAGUGUGGCAGAGGGAGGUGGAAUUCCACGUGUAGCGGUGAAAUGCGUAGAGAUGUGGAGGAACACCAAUGGCGAAGGCAGCCUCCUGGGCCAACACUGACACUCAUGCACGAAAGCGUGGGGAGCAAACAGG
rnacentral:rRNA from 1 species